UACGGAGGGUGCAAGCGUUAAUCGGAAUUACUGGGCGUAAAGCGCACGUAGGUGGUUUGUUAAGCUAGCUGUGAAAUCCCCGGGCUCAACCUGGGCACUGCAGUUAGAACUGGCAAGCUAGAGUAGGGUAGAGGGGUGUGGAAUUCCAGGUGUAGCGGUGAAAUGCGCAGAUAUCAGGAGGAACACCGGUGGCGAAGGCGGGUCUCUGGGCCGGAACUGACGCUAAGGAGCGAAAGCGUGGGGAGCGAACAGG
rnacentral:rRNA from 1 species